rnacentral:lncRNA from 1 species
AUUCCAUCAUCCUAACCAUUAACUUUUCUAAAUCCUCCAUGGUUAAAGGAUUUUUAUCAUCCAUUGUCAAAAUAAAAUACUUAAAUGAUCAAGUAAACAAGAACAAUCUUGAGGGAAGAAAAGGUAUUUGAAUUUUUCUCACCAACGAUCUGAGAUAAACUCAGAUGACAAAUAAAAAAUAUCGAAUAUCUGCUUGCAUGAAAGGCACCUCGAUAAUAUUCAGAAACUCUCAAAAAAGAUGCUCCAUUGUUGCUCCAGAAUAAGACCCAGCACCUA